UACGGAGGGUGCAAGCGUUAAUCGGAAUUACUGGGCGUAAAGCGUGCGUAGGCGGCUGUUUAAGUCAGAUGUGAAAGCCCCGGGCUUAACCUGGGAACUGCAUUUGAUACUGGGCAGCUAGAGUUGAGUAGAGGAGAGGGGAAUUUCAGGUGUAGCGGUGAAAUGCGUAGAGAUCUGAAGGAACACCAGUGGCGAAGGCGCCUCUCUGGACUCAAACUGACGCUGAGGUACGAAAGCGUGGGUAGCAAAC
rnacentral:rRNA from 1 species